UUUUUUUUUUUGUUUUUUUUUUUUUUUGUAUUUGGAACUAAGAUCAGACUUUUAAAAGGCUCAUCCAAGAUUAAACAGUAAUAAAAGACAGGACUGAGCCAACAAUUCAAAACUUUUUAAUUUAGAUGUUUGAUUUUCUUUCUGUCAUGCCCAAGUGCUUCCUGGAAAUUAAAAUUGAAUAUAAUAUGUCCAAAUAUACAUCAUAAAAUACUGGAAUUGGGAUACUACUGCAUAUAAUCUUAUAUUGUUUAAUCAGUUAUGUAAGAUUUUAUUAGAAGAAAACCAGGUAUUCUAAAAAGGGUUCUUAUUCCCAGAAAAAUGAAUUUCUAUGACUAACCUAAAAUCUUCAAAAUGUAAAGUUGAUCUAAAGUAAAUGAGAUAUACACAAAAGUUUUUGUUGAAUUUCUGAAACCAAAAUCUGUCAAAGUAGCAGAACAUAAGUAUGUUUUAGACUCUAAUAUAUAAAAUGGGAGAACUACACCAAAGACAAAAAUAUUAAAAACAAAGCCAAAAAUGCCUCAUCCCAGCUCUGCCAAUCCAUGUCUCUGUUACCUAGUGUAACUCAGUUUUUUAGUGUUGCUUUUAAUAACUCUACAAGGUUCCCGUAUGAUUUCCACUAAGUUCAAAUAUGCACAAUUUAUAGUUUGAAACAAUCACCUAAACUACAUAUAGACUAGGCAAUAAUGCUCUUAAGCUAUCAUAUCAUGGAAAUUUCUCCUUUGUUGGGAAAAAUGAUACUCUCCAAUGCAUAUUUGUUUCCAACAUAAAGUCUCUUGGAAUUCCAAGAAGGGUUUUUUUGGCAAUCCAUGGCUAGUUUUGCCUCAUAUUGCCUACUCUCCUUUCUCUUACCCUUCUUUCUUGAAGUCCAAGUAAAUAUUAAUUAUGACUCACUUAUCUAGGUCUUCUGAAGGGAGUUGGUGACACUAUAGUCUUUCUUUGGCUGCCACCUUGAGAUCCAGGGGUCCUCAGCAUCUUUGAAUAUUUUCACCACUACUAUAUGGGCACAUAGAGGCAGCAUCAACAAAAAGCAUAAUUGGGGAUAUAUGCCACUUUUAUACUUUGGAUUAUAUGUCCCAUCUUAUAAUAUUUGAAUCAGUAUUCACUUCUAGCCAUUCAACUUUCAAACAGAUAUGUUCUAUAUUAAACAACAAUAAACAAUAUCCCCCUUCCCUUUUAUCCAAAGGAUUUGGGAGAAAUAAAAUAUAAUGCACAAUAUACAUAUAAUUUGUGAUAAAUAUGAUAAUGAACCUUAUCUUAUUCUGCAUUUUUGGACCUGCAGAUGUUCUGCAAACUAAAUAUCUUGAAUGAGUAUGUAAAAGUUCCCAUUCUAAGUUCUUCGCAUUAUUCUUCCCUUUCCUCUGGACAGUCCUACCCAAGUAGCUCAAGCAGACUAGAAAAGACAUGCAUUAUUUAAGGGAAAAAUUUUAAUGAAAAUUUCAAUUAUUCAAAUAUUCUCAGCCUGUUAUUGAUGUAAAUGGCAUGUAAUCAAGCCAUGCUAGUGAAAUAAAAAGAAAAUUAAUUUUAAAAUGUUUUAUUAUUGAAAUUUUAUUUUAAUUUUGAGUUAUCAUAUGGAUUUUAUUUAACAACUAAGUAUAAAUUCAAUCUCUGAGUAGAUAUUACCUAACAAAUUGAUAUUUAUGUUCCUAAACUCAUCUCUAAAAUAGAGACCAGAAGACAGAGGGAACUAUUCUUUUUAGAGGUUGUAAUGAAUUCAAACAUAUUCAUUAAUUUUAUAGCAGUUCUUUCAGUUUCACAGUGAAAUAUAAAAAGGCCUAUCUUAUUGGAAAGAAUACCAAGUAGCUAUUUUGACACUUGAUGAAGAGAGAUUUGUUCUAUUGUUUUAAAUGCAUGGGUGCUAAAGCAAGACUUAGAAAUAUUUUUGUUAGACAGUUUCAUUCUAAUAGUAUAUUCUAUAACAGAAAUGACCUAUAAGUAAAAUAAUUCAAAAUAUCCUUUCUUCUGAAGGUGAUCUCCAUAUAAAAUGUGAACACAAUUUAAAAUAGCACAUUACUAUGAUAUGAAUUUGAAUGACCUUUGAAGGAAUAAUUUUUCUACUAAUGUUAAAAAUUUGAUAAUAUAUAUUUUGUUAAAGUGGUUUGGUCAGUGUUCCUAUAUGAUCGACCUCAAACCAUCAGUGUUUAAAUGAACCAAAGUACUUAAUUUAUUUUUUAUGAUCAUCCUAAGGGAAUUAUAUACCUCAUGUCAAAUAUGACUUAAUAAGGUAUACUAUAUUAAUCAUACUAAGUUAGAAUGAGAACCAAGGUUAUCUUGGUAGGAGGGUGAUAUAAUGCCUAUAAAUAACUGAUUAAAGUACACAGGAUAUCUCAUAAAAUGCAAAGUGUACCUUUUAAAGAAACAUGAAAUGAUUUUCCUUCUAUAGAAAGCCCUCGACAUUAGUUUGGAGCUAUAUACUAAUAUAAUUUAAACUGUUAACUAAAUGGUUAUUAGACAGUUGAGAAAUAUCAAUAUAUUCAACAUAAUAAUUCAAAUAAUAAAUGUAUACAUCCAAAUAUACCAUCAAAAGUUGAAGAUGCCAAAUUAUAAAAAAUAAUAACCAAAAAAAAAUGAGUCAUUCAUUAGAAAACAUCAAAAUGUUAUGGAAUUGUUCCAUAAAGGGAGGUCCAUCAAUGAAAAUUAUAUAUUUAAAAUAAUUCUCGCCAUUUAAAAUCUGCAAUGCAAAACAGUAAAAAAUUGGGAAAAUAUAUUACUGAGAAAAAGUGCAAAUUGCUCCCUCUCUUCAGCAUAUACUUUAACCCAAUAAUUUUCUACCCCUAGACAUAUGUAAAAUGAAAAUAAUUGAGUAUAUGCACAAAGAUAUAUAAGCAUAUUUCUAGGAGCAAUAUGCAUAGUACUCAAAAUCGAUGUCACAUUAAGGCAGGAGUACCAAGAUUAAGGUGGGCUGGUGACAAUUGUAACUGGAAUUAUCAUAACCUAUGUAGGUGAAACAAUAGCUUUUUUGCAGACCAUCACUAUUGUGAAGCAAUGUUGCUCCACUAUUUCUGAAACUUCCAUAUGUUCAAAAGGAGGAGAAAUUUCUCAAUAUUUUUAAAAUACAAGUAUUGAUAUCAAAGUCAGCUUUUAAAACAUUGUGAUCAGUAACGACAAAAUACAUCAUUGGGACAAAUUCAACCUGAUACCAAGUUGCAACAUUAGAUGUAAUGGAACUGUUUAUACUGGUAAAAUCAUGGUAUUAUAGAAAAAUAUUGGCAUUAAAAUAUUCAUAGUAAUUUAUAAAUAGCAGAAGUAGUCUAUUUUAGUUAAAAUAAAAAUGAGCUUGCCAAAGAAUUAGAGGCAACUAGAAAUUAACAGGAAUAUCUUUCAAUGGUAGGAUUGAUGAAAUAUUUUUCCUACCUCAAACUAAGCUGGUAGGCAGCAAGGAAAUUAUCAGAGUCUAGGAAGAAGGUGAACCCUAAUACAUGGCAUUGAAACAUUGUGGACUGAGGUAACCUGGGAAGUAGAGCUGUACCUAAUGAAGUUCUAACAUUGGUAAACAUAGGUAAGAAUACAGAAUAUUAGUAUUGUAUGACAGGUGAUGCCUGAUUUAGAGAAGUAUUACAAGAAAGAGAUGACAUUGGAAAUAAAUGGCCAGUUUGCAAGCAGGAAAGCAAAGGAAUAUAUUUCACAAAGAUCAUUUUUUUUUUUUUGUCUUUUUGCCAUUUCUUGGGCCGCUCCCACGGCAUAUGGAGGUUCCCAGGCUAGGGGUCUAAUCAGAGCUGCAGCCACCGGCCCACGCCAGAGCCACAGCAAUGCAGGAUCCAAGCCGCGUCUGCAACCUACACCACAGCUCACGGCAAUGCCGGCUCAUCAACCCACUAAGCAAGGGCAGGGACCAAACCCGCAACCUCAUGGUUCCUAGUCGGAUUUGUUAACCACUGCGCCACGACGGGAACUCCCAAAGAUCAUUUUUUGAGAUACAUCUCCCCAUAUUUCUCACUCCAAAUAUGGCUGUUUAUUAUGGAUAUCCAGUCCCUGUUUCAUAUUAUAUAUUGAUUACAAGGUAGAGGAGAUAGAUUUUAUUUUUAAGCCUUAGAUCAAGGGGAGAGCCCCCCACAGAGACUUAACAUUACUGAACACUCAUAUUAGUAAUACUUUCCUUAUAAAAACAUAUAAUCCCUACAAUUACUGCAAACAAUGAAAGACUCUGAAGUAAUACAUGGUUGUGGUCAUGAAAGUCCAGUUGUGUACCCAUAUGUUUAUUGUUGAGAAACUGCAACAUAGCAAAAGACUAGUGCAAUAGAUCAAUGAGUGUCAGCGGAAUUAUAUCAUUAAAUAUUUCACUGACAUAAUCAGUUAGUUCCAUGGCAGGACAAUCCACUGCAUUUACAUUCUCUUUCUAAUAAUUAGUGCACAUAUAUUAAGAGAAAUGUAUUGAUUCCAUAUUGUUUCAGAGUGAAAUUGUCUAAUAACUUCUUUGGUACUCUCUUUUAAUUCUUAUCCUCCUAAUUAUCUGUCUGAUAAUGACCAUUUAAAUUGAGAAAGCUCUGAUUGCAUUACAUCUUUUAGUUCGCAGUGGCAGCGGGUAAAACACUUAGGCUGAAGAUCUAAGGUUGGAGGCUCAACCUGAGAGACAAAUUUCUCUUUCACAGUAAUCAGCUUUGAGAACUGAACACAAUUCUAUGACCAUAUUUUCCAUCUAAACUUGUAAGUUAAUUUUACUCUAACUUUUAAUCAAUGCUACUGAAGGUCCACUGUUUUGUUCUGAAAAAUAAAGAAGGGACAUGUAACUCCUAUAAAUGUAGUUCUAAUGAAAUCAGGAGAGGACGUCAUAUCCUUAUUAAAAAAACACAUUUCUAAUAACUGUGAUUUUACUUCAGAUAAUUUUCAACGGGUACAGUGAUGUAGCAUAGACACAAUUCCAGAAUAAAGCCAGGUUUGUUGUUUGUUUGUUUGUGACUGCAGAGCUUAAAAAAACAAAAACAAAAAACAAAACUGUAGUUACUCAAGGCCAAAAAAUGCUGAACAUCAGAAAAUGUACCAUAUCUCUGUUAAUCUGUUUUGUUUCAUUGUUUUAUUUUUAACUGAACUAGUCACUCACUAGGAACAUUCACUUAAGCAAAACUUUUCAUUUAUCCAUUUAUAGUAUUAAAGAAGGUGUAAUUUGUUGUAGUGUUUUGUCUGUGAAUCUAUUUUCCUAACUCUGGAAAACAUAACAUUCUGAAGUGUCCUAAUAACAAAAAAAAAAAAAGAAGAAAAAUUUCAUUUUCCUUUCUAUUUAAAUAUGUAAAAAACACAUAUUCCAGUUUAGGAUCAUGUUAAACAUUUUACUUCUGUAAGAAAGUAUUUGUAUAUGAAUAAAACUAUCAAGUGGUCAUAUCUGAUAUUGACCUUUCCACCACUUUCCUCCCAAAUACUUGUUCAAAACCUUUGCCUUUAAAGAGUCUGAAUUGUGUGUCAAGAACUGCCAUAAACAUAUUACUUGAAUUAUCUAAUCAAAGUCUUCCAAUACUCAUGAGGUAUUAGCAGUGAGGAAACUCAACAAAGCAAACAAACUUUAAGGAAAAAUGUCCACCUUCAUAGCAGCUAAACAUUGGAGUUAAACUACUGAACUUGUACCAUUAACUACUGUUUUGUACUGACUUUAAAAGGUCUAGAGGGAGAUCAAUCCAUUAGAAGCCAUGAUCUAAUGAGGAGAACAUGGUUUGACCUCCAAAACCCCAAUCUGGAUGAAUACACAUAAAGAGAACAUGACUAACAAGAU
rnacentral:lncRNA from 1 species